rnacentral:lncRNA from 1 species
CAAUCUGACUGAGGCUUCCAUCGGGAAGUGCACGCUCCAUUAACAGUUGCACGGCAAGUUUUUUUAAAAGCCCGGAAAGCUACGCAUUAGAGAAGGAUGGCUUUCAUUUGCAGCUGGCACCAGAAUCAUUUUUAAGAGUGUGAGGUUUGGCACCUUGGUAAUUACUUCUGGUUGACACCAGAGAAAUGCUUUCUGGCAGCACUUAAAUAUAUUCGUAUCAACUGAAGUCGUCCGCUGUGCAGGAAGGGUCUCAGAGCCACAUGGGAACAAAUCUCUAGGAUUAUCCAGCAUAGGUUCGUUAUGAUGGGAAGACCCUACGUGUAGGUAGUCCAGGAGUCCCAGACUGAAGAGAUGAAUAAAAAGAAGAGAGCAAGUGGACAGCGGUCCUGCCCACAAACGUGAUGUGAAGUGACCUGCCUCCCAAGCUCCUGCCGCUGUGUCUUCCCCACGAGGACAGACUCUGUCUCCGCCAAGUAAGACUCAUAAUAACCUCUUUAUUAAGCUGAUUUACUCAAGUGUUUUCUCACCCCAUCCAGAGAAGUAACUACAUAAUCUACAGAAAUAAAUAAACUUUCCAA